GCGACGGGCGGAGCUCCGGGCGCGGCUUUGGCAUGGGUUCGGGGACGGCGCGGCCAACGGCAUCAAGAGGUCUCGAAACCUUGUCACAAAGGUAGGUAAGGGUCACAUGAGUCUACCGGUGAAAGGAAUCGAAGAACGGAGGUUCGGGGUGAUAUCACCGGCAACAAUGGUGGCGGUGACCGGCGGAGAAAGACGUCGACGUAGCCAGCUGUACAGAGGUUUUGAGGCCAAACUUUCUACAUGGGAACGGGAGAGGAGAGGCAAAGGCUCAAAGUGACGCGCGUGGAAUCAUUUUAUAGUGGCGAAGGAGGGAGAUCGGGCGUGGAUGUCGACGGCCGACAUUCGGGGCACCUCUUUUGGAAACUGCGAUGAUGAGAGGAAAUUUCAAAUUGAUUUCCUGAAUGGGUUCCCGGGAUGGUGAGGAUUGAUGCGGUGGUUUCCUUUCGGAGAGAGACGCGCGGGAAGGAAAGAAAUCGAAGAACGAAAAUAUGGAAGGAGGAUUUCCUUACGUGCGUGCAGAGGAGGAAGACAGCACCAGCUCGUGCUUGCUGUCUGGGGCGCUCGCUGGAGAUGGGCCGGUCGGUCUAUUCUCAUUUUUUUUUCUUUUUCCUUUUCUUUUUUUCCAUUUCUGUUUUUUUAUUAAUAACUUUUGAUUCCUAACUCUAAAUAAGUCCAAAUAAACUCCAGUAAACUUGUAAACUCAAAUCCUCCAAAGUGUGA
rnacentral:lncRNA from 1 species